rnacentral:lncRNA from 1 species
GUAUUUCUUUGUAGCUUCUUUUCUCAUUUGACAAUAUAGCUGAAGAAGUUUCCAUGUCAUAUGGCAUUUAUCCUUGAACCCAGGAGUUCAAGACCAGCCUGGGCAACAUGGUGAGACCCCAUCUCUACCAAGAUCUGACCUCGUGAUCCGCCCGCCUUGGCCUCCCAAAGUGCUGGGAUUACAGGCGUGAGCCACCGCACCUGGCCCUAAAAUAUUUUCUUACUGGAGACUGCAACUUGAAGCGAAAUGACUUCAGGCAAAGUGGCAUAUAACAGUCCUGGAAUAAUGUUGUUUCAUUCAAUGUCAUUUCAGUAUGAUUGAGAAAAAAAAAUUCCUUGCUGGGACCCACUGUCUGUGUGGAGUUUGCAUGUUUUCUCCCACAUCUGUGAGUUUCCUCCAGGUGCUUCUGUUUCCUCCCACAUCCCAAAGAUGCACACGUUAGGUGAUUUGGCGUAUCUGAUCUGAGUGGUCCCAGUCUGAGUGAGAGUAGGUGGAUGUGUGUGCCCUGUGAUGGGAUAGUGUCCUGUCCAGGGUCAGUUCCUGCCUUGUACCCUGAACUGCUGGGAAAAGCUCCAGCCACUUGAGACCUUGAACUGGAAUAAUUGGGGAAAUCAAUAUCUUUCCAUUAAUCUUUCUUAAAUGUAUGUAUCACUCACAUUUAUUUUAGUGUUUAAUAUUAGAAGUGUUUUUGUGUUUAUUUGGAAGUUUGUUGACGUUUUUGUGACCAGAAAUAUGCUAUGGGAGCUUAAUUCUUAUUAUAUCAAUUAGCCUAGGGUAAAAUUUGUUUUGUUCUCAGUGUUUUAGUAAAGUCAUAGAUUCCGAGAACCUGUCGACCUUGAGCAAGGACUUACUAUAUAUUAAAAAAUAGGCUGGGUGCAGUGGCUCACGCCUGUAAUCUCAGCACUUUGGGAGGCCAAGGCGGGCAGAUCACCUGAGGUCAGUAGUUCGAGACCAGCCUGGCCAACAUGGUGAAACACCAUCUCUACUAAAAAUACAAAAAUUACUAUUGUGAGUAGUGCUGCAAUAAACAUAUGUGUGCAUGUGUCUUUAUAGCAGCAUGAUUUAUAAUCCUUUGGUUAUAUACCCAGUAAUGGGAUGGCUGGGUCAAAUGGUAUUUCUAGUUCUAGAUCCCUGAGGAAUCGCCACACCGUCUUCCACAAUGGUUGAACUAGUUUACAGUCCCACCAACAGUGUAAAAGUGUUCCUAUUUCUCCACAUCCUCUCCAGCACCUGUUGUUUCCUGACUUUUUAAUGAUUGCCAUUCUAACUGGUGUGAGAUGGUAUCUCAUUGUGGUUUUGAUUUGCAUUUCUCUGAUGGCCAGUGAUGAGGAGCAUUUUUUCGUGUGUCUGUUGGCUGCAUAAAUGUCUUCUUUUGAGAAGUGUCUGUUCAUAUCCUUCACCCACUUUUUGAUGGGGUUGUUUGAUAUUUUCUUGUAAAUUUGUUAAAGUUCUUUGUAGAUUCUGGAUAUUAGCCCUUUGUCAGAUGGGUAGAUCAUAAAAAUUUUCUCCCAUUCUGUAGGUUGCCUGUUCACUGUGAUGGUAGUUUCUUUUGCUGUGCAGAAGCUCUUUAGUUUAAUUAGAUCCCAUUUGUCAAUUUUGGCUUUUGUUGCCAUUGCUUUUGGUGUUUUAGUCAUGAAGUCCUUGCCCAUGCCUAUGUCCUGAAUGGUAUUGUCUAGGUUUUCUUCUAGGGUUUUUAUGGUUUUAGGUCUAACAUUUAAGUGUUUAAUCCAUCUGGAAUUAAUUUUUGUAUAAGGUGUAAGGAAGGGAUCCAGUUUCAGCUUUCUACAUAUGGCUAGGCAGUUUUCCCAGCACCAUUUAUGUUUUCCCCAUUUCUUGUUUUUGUCAUGUUUGUCAAAGAUCAGAUGGCUGUAGAUGUGUGGUAUUAUUUCUGAGGGCUCUGUUCUGUUCCAUUGGUCUAUAUCUCUGUUUUGGUACCAGCACCAUGCUGUUUUGGUUACUGUAGCCUUGUAGUAUAGUUUGAAGUCAGGUAGCGUGAUGCCUCCAGCACAUGCACACGUAUGUUUAUUGUGGCACUAUUCACAAUAGCAAAGACUUGGAACCAACCCAA